rnacentral:tRNA from 1 species
GCGGGUGUCGUAUAAUGGCUAUUACCUCAGCCUUCCAAGCUGAUGACGCGGGUUCGACUCCCGCCACCCGCUCCA